UACAAUCCAAAAUCGGACACCUUCAAGAAAUCUGUAUCCCAAGCUUUGCCGGAUGUACAACUUACUUGAUCACAGCUUCACUGCUGGGCAUCGGCUGCGACAAUGCUGAAAGACGAAUCGGCAGGGACAACUUUCACCGAAUCGCCGAUCCACUGGACGAGGCAAUGAUGCAUCGUAGAUGGGAUACAGCAAUUGGCAUGAAUCCAAUCUUGACCUAAGAGCAUGUUAUAUGACCCUUUCCCACUAAUGACAAAAAACGUGGUGGGUAAGGUCUUACUUCCAAUCAUCAAAUCAACGUAGAGUGCCCCCCGAGCUGGUGAGAUAUUCCCUUCAAAGUCUUUCAACAUCAUAUCCAUUUUCGUCAGGUCUUCUUCGCCCUUUCCAAGCUUGUGAAACAUGGCAUAUGGCAUGAUAUUUACCGCCACACCUCCAUCCACCAACAACUUGGUAACUGGCC
rnacentral:lncRNA from 1 species